CCUCUUACCUAGGGUUUUAAAUUUCGCCAAUGAUUUUCCAAUGAACAACAGUCGCUCUCUCUCCUUUCCAGUGAUGUCUCUCCCUCUGACAUUUUCUCUUCAUCCAAAGCUCUAUCCCUUCGACGGACAAUGUCUAGAUUCAUCAAAUCCAGAGAAAACUUUUUAUUUGGAUCUUCAUCAUCCAGAUGAAUUAGCUUUAUUUGGAAAAUGAAGACGCAUCCAGACCAAGGCAUCGUCCAAACAAAGAUGACACCUUAGUUUGGAUGAUGAAGGUCUAAACGAAGAGUUUUGUUUAGAUUCAACAAAUCCAGAUGUCAUCCAUCGGAUGGAAAGAAAGCGUCGGAGGGAGAGAGAGCAAUCGUCAUUCGCUAGAAAAGUUUGAAACCCUAGUGGUGAUGUAUUUCAUAUUAGUGGAUCUCGCAUGUUACACGUGUCGAAAGGUAAGUCAUAAACGAGGCAAAUAAGAGUUGUCUUCACAUGGUCAGUUCGUUGAACGGCUAGGAAUCGAAAGGAUAUCCACGUGGCACAUUCACUUCUCCGCAAGAUUUCCAUCGAUAAUAUUAAUGCCAUUUGUUCUUCCUUUUGUUCUCUCCCUCUCACCUCUUUCUCUCAAAUAUAUAUUUUUUUAAUAGACUCUAUAUUUUAAAAAUCUAUAUAUUAUUGGUUC